AUACAGAGGUGGCAAGCGUUGUUCGGAAUUACUGGGCGUAAAGGGCGCGUAGGCGGCCGCCUAAGUCAGACGUGAAAUCCCCAGGCUUAACUUGGGAACUGCGUCUGAUACUGAGUGGCUUGAGUUCGGGAGAGGAAUGUGGAAUUCCAGGUGUAGCGGUGAAAUGCGUAGAUAUCUGGAGGAACACCGGUGGCGAAGGCGGCAUUCUGGACCGAAACUGACGCUGAGGCGCGAAAGCCAGGGGAGCAAACGGGA
rnacentral:rRNA from 1 species